rnacentral:rRNA from 1 species
GGCUCAGGAUGAACGUUGGCGGCGUGCUUAACGCAUGCAAGUCGAACGCAGAUGGCAUUAUUUGAGUGGCGCACGGGUGAGUAACACGUAGCUUACCUACCCUGGAGAGCGGGAUAACGUUCCGAAAGGAAUGCUAAUACCGCAUAAGCUCACGAUCUGUAGAGGGUUGUGAGAAAACGGAGAAAUUCGCUUCAGGAUGGGGCUGCGGCCCAUCAGCUAGUUGGUGAGGUAAAAGCUUACCAAGGCGACGACGGGUAGGGGACCUGAGAGGGUGACCCCCCACACUGGGACUGAGACACGGCCCAGACUCCUACGGGAGGCAGCAGUGAGGGAUAUUGCACAAUGGGCGCAAGCCUGAUGCAGCGACGCCGCGUGGAUGAAGAAGGCCUUCGGGUCGUAAAAUCCUUUUGCGCGUGACGAGAAUGGACGGUAGCGCGCGAAUAAGUCUCGGCUAACUACGUGCCAGCAGCCGCGGUAAAACGUAGGAGACGAACGUUAUCCGGAGUUACUGGGCGUAAAGGGCGUGCAGGCGGCUUGAUAAGUUCGGCGUGAAAUUUUCCGGCUUAACCGGGGGAUGUCGUCGGAGACUGUCGGGCUAGAGGGCGAUAGAGGCAGGUGGAAUUCCGGGUGUAGUGGUGAAAUGCGUAGAGAUCCGGAGGAACACCAGUGGCGAAGGCGACCUGCUGGGUCGCACCUGACGCUAAGACGCGACAGCAUGGGGAGCGAACGGGAUUAGAAACCCCGGUAGUCCAUGCCGUAAAUGAUGCCAACUCGGUGUUUGGUCUGGGAAACCAGACUGGGUACCCAAGCAAACGCGAUAAGUUGGCCGCCUGGGGAGUACGGU